ACGGGAGGCAGCAGUGGGGCAUAUUGCACAAUGGGGGAAACCCUGAUGCAGCAACGCCGCGUGAAGGAUGAAGGCCCUUGGGUCGUAAACUUCUGUUCUAAGGGAAGAUGAUGACGGUACCUUAGGAGCAAGUCCCGGCUAACCACGUGCCAGCAGCCGCGGUAAUACGUAGGGGGCAAGCGUUAUCCGGAAGUAUUGGGAGUAAAGAGUACGUAGGCGGUUUCCUAAGCAUGGGGUUUAAGGCAAUGGCUUAACCAUUGUUCGCCCCAUGAACGGGGUUACUUGAGUGCUGGAGAGGAAAGCGGAAUUCCUAGUGUAGCGGUGAAAUGCGUAGAUAUUAGGAGGAACACCAGUGGCGAAGGCGGCUUUCUGGACAGUAACUGACGCUGAGGUACGAAAGUGUGGGGAGCAAACAGGAUUAGAUACCCUGGUA
rnacentral:rRNA from 1 species